UACGAAGGGGGCUAGCGUUGCUCGGAAUCACUGGGCGUAAAGGGUGCGUAGGCGGGUCUUUAAAUCAGGGGUGAAAUCCUGGAGCUCAACUCCAGAACUGCCUUUGAUACUGAAGAUCUUGAGUUCGGGAGAGGUGAGUGGAACUGCGAGUGUAGAGGUGAAAUUCGUAGAUAUUCGCAAGAACACCAGUGGCGAAGGCGGCUCACUGGCCCGAUACUGACGCCUGAGGCACGAAAGCGUGGGGAGCAAACAGG
rnacentral:rRNA from 1 species